GCCCGGUAAGCUCAGUCGGUAGAGCAUCUGACUUUUAAUCAGAGGGUCGCGGGUUCAAGUCCCUCAUCGGGCG
rnacentral:tRNA from 1 species